rnacentral:rRNA from 1 species
GGUGGCGAGUGGCGACGGGUGAGUAAUACAUCGGAACGUGUCCUGGAGUGGGGGAUAGCCCGGCGAAAGCCGGAUUAAUACCGCAUACGCUCUGUGGAGGAAAGCGGGGGAUCUUCGGACCUCGCGCUCAAGGGGCGGCCGAUGGCAGAUUAGGUAGUUGGUGGGGUAAAGGCCUACCAAGCCGACGAUCUGUAGCUGGUCUGAGAGGACGACCAGCCACACUGGGACUGAGACACGGCCCAGACUCCUACGGGAGGCAGCAGUGGGGAAUUUUGGACAAUGGGCGCAAGCCUGAUCCAGCAAUGCCGCGUGUGUGAAGAAGGCCUUCGGGUUGUAAAGCACUUUUGUCCGGAAAGAAAACCUCUGGGUUAAUACCCCGGGGGGAUGACGGUACCGGAAGAAUAAGCACCGGCUAACUACGUGCCAGCAGCCGCGGUAAUACGUAGGGUGCGAGCGUUAAUCGGAAUUACUGGGCGUAAAGCGUGCGCAGGCGGUGAUGUAAGACCGAUGUGAAAUCCCCGGGCUUAACCUGGGAACUGCAUUGGUGACUGCAUCGCUCGAGUAUGGCAGAGGGGGGUAGAAUUCCACGUGUAGCAGUGAAAUGCGUAGAGAUGUGGAGGAAUACCGAUGGCGAGGCAGCCCCCUGGGUCAAUACUGACGCUCAUGCACGAAAGCGUGGGGAGCAAACAGGAUUAGAUACCCUGGUAGUCCACGCCCUAAACGAUGUCAACUGGUUGUCGGGCCUUCAUUGGCUUGCUUAACGUAGCUAACGCGUGAAGUUGACCGCCCUGGGGAGUACGGUCGCAAGAUUAAAACUCAAAGG